GUUGGAUUCGCUAGUAAUCGCGCAUCAGCCAUGGCGCGGUGAAUACGUUCCCGGGCCUUGUACACACCGCCCGUCAAGCCAUGGGAGCCGGGGGCGCCUGAAGUCCGGGACCGCGAGGACCGGCCUAAGGCGAAACUGGUGACUGGGCUAAGUCGUAACAAGGUAUC
rnacentral:rRNA from 1 species